rnacentral:rRNA from 1 species
CGGUGGGGCUGACGGUACCCGAGGAAUAAGCCCCGGCUAACUUCGUGCCAGCAGCCGCGGUAAUACGAAGGGUGCAAGCGUUAAUCGGAAUUACUGGGCGUAAAGGGUGCGUAGGCGGUUUGUUAAGUCUGUCGUGAAAUCCCCGGGCUCAACCUGGGAAUGGCGAUGGAUACUGGCAAGCUAGAGUGUGUCAGAGGAUGGUGGAAUUUCCGGUGUAGCGGUGAAAUGCGUAGAGAUCGGAAGGAACAUCAGUGGCGAAGGCGGCCAUUUGGGACAACACUGACGCUGAAGCACGAAAGCGUGGGGAGCAAACAGGAUUAGAUACCCUGGUAGUCCACGCCCUAAACGAUGCGAACUGGAUGUUGGUCUCAACUCGGAGAUCAGUGUCGAAGCUAACGCGUUAAGUUCGCCGCCUGGGGAGUACGGUCGCAAGACUGAAACUCAAAGGAAUUGACGGGGGCCCGCACAAGCGGUGGAGUAUGUGGUUUAAUUCGAUGCAACGCGAAGAACCUUACCUGGCCUUGACAUGUCUGGAAUCCUGCAGAGAUGCGGGAGUGCCUUCGGGAAUCAGAACACAGGUGCUGCAUGGCUGUCGUCAGCUCGUGUCGUGAGAUGUUGGGUUAAGUCCCGCAACGAGCGCAACCCUUGUCCUUAGUUGCCAGCACGUAAUGGUGGGAACUCUAAGGAGACUGCCGGUGACAAACCGGAGGAAGGUGGGGAUGACGUCAAGUCCUCAUGGCCCUUACGGCCAGGGCUACACACGUACUACAAUGGUCGGUACAGAGGGUUGCAAUACCGCGAGGUGGAGCCAAUCCCAGAAAGCCGAUCCCAGUCCGGAUCGGAGUCUGCAACUCGACUCCGUGAAGUCGGAAUCGCUAGUAAUCGCGGAUCAGCUAUGCCGCGGUGAAUACGUUCCCGGGCCUUGUACACACCGCCCGUCACACCAUGGGAGUGAGUU